rnacentral:rRNA from 1 species
GGGGGGGGGGGGGGGGGGGGGGGGGGGGGGGGGGGCGGGGGGGGCCUGCGGGGGUGGUGGGGCCCGGGGGGGUGACGCGGGGGGGCCUGCCGUGGGGUUCGGACUACCUGCCCGAAAGGGGUGCUAAUCCCGGGUAAUGUCUUCGGAGCAAAGAUUUAUCGCCUUUGGAUGUGACCGCGUUGGAUUAGCUAGUUGGUAGGGUAAAAGCCUACCAAGGCGACGAUCCAUAGCUGGUCUGAGAGGAUGAUCAGCCACACUGGGACUGAGACACGGCCCAGACUCCUACGGGAGGCAGCAGUGGGGAAUAUUGGACAAUGGGCGAAAGCCUGAUCCAGCAAUGCCGCGUGAGUGAUGAAGGCCUUAGGGUUGUAAAGCUCUUUUACCCGGGAUGAUAAUGACAGUACCGGGAGAAUAAGCUCCGGCUAACUCCGUG